GACGAACGCUGGCGGCGUGCCUAAUACAUGCAAGUCGAACGCAGUGGGGACGGGUGAGUAACACGUGGGUAACCUCCCAUCAGAGGGGAUAACACUUGGACACAGGUGCUAAACCGAUACUGAUGGAUGGACCCGCGGUGCAUUAGCUAGUUGGUGGGGUAACGGCUCACCAAGGCCACGAUCCAUAGCUGGCCUGAGAGGAGGACCAGCCACACUGGAACUGAGACACGGUCCAGACUCCUACGGGAGGCAGCAGUAGGGAAUAUUGGACAAUGGGCGCAAGCCUGACGCAGCAAUGCCGCGUGUGUGAAGAAGGUUUUCGGGUUGUAAAGCACUGUUGUCGGGGAAGCGGUAUCCACAGAAGAAGCCCCGGCUAACUACGUGCCAGCAGCCGCGGUAAUAC
rnacentral:rRNA from 1 species